rnacentral:rRNA from 1 species
AGCAUAUUAAUGAGGGGAGGAAAAGAAACUAACAAGGAUUUUCUUAGUAGCGGCGAGCGAAAAGAAAAUAGUUCAGCACUAAGUCACUUUGUCUUUAUGGCAAAUGUGAGAUGCAGUGUAUGGAAUGUCAAAUUUCUAGUAUGAGAAAUUAACGAUUUAAGUCCUUCUUAAAUGAGGCCAUUUACCCAAAGAGGGUGCCAGGCCCGUAUAACGUUAAUGAUUACUAGAUGGCAUUUCCAAAGAGUCGUGUUGCUUGAUAGUGCAGCACUAAGUGGGUGGUAAACUCCAUCUAAAACUAAAUAUAACCAUGAGACCGAUAGUAAACAAGUACCGUGAGGGAAAGUUGAAAAGAACUCUGAAUAGAGAGUUAAAUAGUACGUGAAACUGCUUAGAGGUUAAGCCCGAUGAACCUGAAUAUCCGUUAUGGAAAAUUCAUCAUUAUGAUUUUAAUAUUUAUAAUAUUAUAAUAAUGGUGUGCAUUUUUUCUAUAAAGGACAUUGUAAUCUAUUAACUUUACAUUAUUUAUCAUAAGAUCAUUAGAUUAUGUUUAUUCAAAUUAUUUUGCUUGCAAUUUAAUAUCGAAUAAAUUCUUUUGAUUUGAUAAAGCGUUGAUAGAUUUAUUAUAUACAGUGCUUAAAUAUUUAUAUUUUAUAAUAUCAUAUUAAUCAAUGAUUUUUAUGUUCAUUAUAUGCACUUGUAUGAUUAACAAUGCGAAAGAUUCAGGAUACCUUCGGGACCCGUCUUGAAACACGGACCAAGGAGUCUAACAUAUUUGCAAGUUAUUGGGAAUAAAAACCUAAUAGCGAAAUUAACAUAACUUUAAUGGGAUUAGUUUUUAGCCUAUUUAUAGUCUAUUAAUUCAAUCCCGGGGCGUUCUAUACAGUUAUGUAUAAUAAUAUUUAUAUUAUUUAUACCUCUAACUAGAGCGUACCUUGAGCAUAUAUGCUGUGACCCGAAAGAUGGUGAACUAUACUUGAUCAGGUUGAAGUCAGGGGAAACCCUGAUGGAAGACCGAAACAGUUCUGACGUGCAAAUCGAUUGUCAGAAUUGAGUAUAGGGGCGAAAGACCAAUCGAACCAUCUAGUAGCUGGUUCCCUCCGAAGUUUCCCUCAGGAUAGCUGGUGCAUUUAAAAAUUAUGUAAAAUAAUCUUAUCUGGUAAAGCGAAUGAUUAGAGGCCUUAGGGUCGAAACGAUCUUAACCUAUUCUCAAACUUUAAAUGGGUAAGAACCUCACCUUUCUUGGUAUGAAGGUUGUGGUUGUGAUAUAAUGUGCCCAGUGGGCCACUUUUGGUAAGCAGAACUGGCGCUGUGGGAUGAACCAAACGUAAUGUUACGGUGCCCAAAUUAACAACUCAUGCAGAUACCAUGAAAGGCGUUGGUUGCUUAAAACAGCAGGACGGUGGACAUGGAAGUCGUAAUCCGCUAAGGAGUGUGUAACAACUCACCUGCCGAAGCAACUAGCCCUUAAAAUGGAUGGCGCUUAAGUUGUAUACCUAUACAUUACCGCUAAAGUAGAUGGUUUAUAUUCAAUUUCGGUUGGAUUUUAAACUUUGAAACUUUAGUGAGUAGGAGGGUACAAUGGUGAGCAUAGAAGUGUUUGGCGUAAGCCUGCAUGGAGCUGCCAUUGGCACAGAUCUUGGUGGUAGUAGCAAAUAAUCGAAUGAGACCUUGGAGGACUGAAGUGGAGAAGGGUUUCGUGUGAACAGUGGUUGAUCACGAGUUAGUCGGUCCUAAGUUUAAGGCGAAAGCCGAAAAUUUUCAAGUUAUAAUGAAUAAGUAAAAUAUAUACAAGUAUAUAUAAGAAAAAGUAAUAAAACACUUGAAUAAUUUUGAACGAAAGGGAAUACGGUUCCAAUUCCGUAACCUGUUGAGUAUCCGUUUGUUAUUAAAUAUGGGCCUUGUGCUCAUCCUGGCAACAGGAACGACCAUAAAGAAGCCGUCGAGAGAUAUCGGAAGAGUUUUCUUUUCUGUUUUAUAGUCGUACUACCAUGGAAGUCUUUCGAAGAGAGAUAUGGUAGAUGGACUAGAAGAGCAUGACAUUUACUGUUGUGUCGAUAUUUUCUCCUCGGACCUUGAAAAUUUAUGGUGGGGUCACGCAAACUUCUCAACAGGCCGUACCAAUAUCCGCAGCUGGUCUCCAAGGUGAAGAGUCUCUAGUCGAUAG